CUUCUCUUCCUUCCAGUUUGCUACUUUAUGCUCUUAACUGAGUGUGAAGCCAGCUCUGGAUCGUUUACUUUGAAAAAAUUAGAGUGUUUAAAGCAGGCCAAUUAGUGCCUUGAAUAUUGCAGCAUGGGAUAAUAGAAUAAGGCUUUGUGCUUAUUUUGUUGGUUUCUAAGCAUGAAAUCAUGGUUAAUAGAAUCGGUUGGGGAUAUUCAUAUUUAAUUGUCAGAGGUGAAAUUCUUGGAUUUAUGAAAGAUGAACUUCUGCGAAAGCAUUUAUCAAGGAUGUUUUCAUUGAUCAAGAACGAAAGUUAGGGGAUCGAAGACGAUCAGAUACCGUCGUAGUCUUAACUAUAAACGAUGCCGACCAGGGAUCGGGAGACGUUACAUGGAUGACUCCCCCAGCACCUUGCGAGAAAUCACAAGUCUUUGGGUUCCGGGGGGAGUAUGGUCGCAAGGCUGAAACUUAAAGGAAUUGACGGAAGGGCACCACAGGAGUGGAGCCUGCGGCUUAAUUUGACCCAACACGGGGAAACUCACCAGGUCCAGACAUAGUAAGGAUUGACAGAUUGAGAGCUCUUUCUUGAUCCUAUGGGUGGUGGUGCAUGGCCGUUCUUAGUUGGUGGAGUGAUUUGUCUGGUUAAUUCCGUUAACGAACGAGACCUCAGCCUGCUAAAUAGUUGCGUGAACCUUCUGUUCGGGUGAAGUGUUGAUUUUAAGGUAUUGCAGCUUGCUGUGGUAUCUUGUUAAUAUGGAUCCUUGAUGAGUUCAUGAAUAUACUUCUUAGAGGGACUAUUAGUAUCUAGCUAAUGGAAGUUUGAGGCAAUAACAGGUCUGUGAUGCCCUUAGAUGUUCUGGGCUGCACGCGCGCUACACUGACAAAUUCAACGAGUUUAACACCUUGGCCGAUGGGUCUGGGUAAUCUUCUGAAAUUUUGUCGUGCUGGGGAUAGAUCAUUGCAAUUAUUGGUCUUAAACGAGGAAUUCCUAGUAAGCGUGAUUCAUCAGAUCACGCUGAUUACGUCCCUGCCCUUUGUACACACCGCCCGUCGCUCCUACCGAUUGAAUGAUCCGGUGAAAUCUCCGGAUGGUGGCACAUAACUGUUGGGAGCAACUCUAGCAGUAGUGUCGUCAGAAGUUGCUUAAACCUUAUCAUUUAGA
rnacentral:rRNA from 1 species